rnacentral:lncRNA from 1 species
GUAAGGACACUGUGCAGAAUCCGUUCAGUGUCAGCAGAGACCCUGGGCCUGGAGCAGGGUUCACUUGUGCUGGGGAGACCCCUGGCAGGAAAAGAACCUCACGCCGCCUGCACCAACCAACAGGGCCUAGGGGUGCUGAGCCUGCACCCCUGGCUGUGACAGUUCUGGUUGCUGUGGGGAAAUUAGGGAAGCAUCCCCUCCUCACCUGCUGCCCUCUGCAGCGAAGAGGCCACUGGGGAGGGGAGCCGGGUGCUGCUCCAGGGCAGCGUGGAGGCACCGUGCGCAGUGUGGGCAGGAGAGCGCCUUGUCCCGCCACCCCGUGGGUCUGUGGCCUGGAGCGGCCCCCAGAGCCCACAUCCACCCACGGAAGAGGUCCCAAGGGCGGAAGAUGGGGGAGGAGAACACAGAGAAGACGGCCCCAGCAGGCCACCUCCCAGGCCAGCGCCCCCUCCUUGGAGGCUUCAACCUCAAGACUCUUGUGCUGCUGCCUCCUGGCUGCUGAGGCAGCCACUUCCAGGGACGCUGGCUCUCCCUUCCUGCCCCCCACCCUGCCCGGCACGCUUGGCACUGUGGGCAUAGGACAGGCACCGAGCAGAUGCAUGGACGCAUGUGUGACUGGCCCUUGGCAACUCACCUUUCUGCCAAAAGCGAUAGCAGGGCUUGUGGGUGAGAAACAACGAUGACGUGGACGCCUGCGUACAGUCCCCACUGCCUGCUGCUCCGGCGGCCUCCCCACACCUGGUCAUUGCUACGUUUCCAUCUGAUGUUUUCCGGAUGACCCCCACAGCCUCAGGACAUCUUCAGUGGGGCUGCAGGGAGGCGACUGCAUUGUGGGGGCUGAUGGCUGGCUUGCUGUUGGGAGGGGCCGUUGGAGGACACAGGUCACUGGGGGCGUGGCCCAGAAGGGUCUGCCUUCCUCCCUCAUCUCCCUGCUUCAUCUACACCCCUGCCACGAGCAGCUCUCCUCUGCCAGGCCCCUCUGGCCUGCACCCUGCCCUCGGAGCCAGCUGACUAUGGACUGAAGCCUCCACAGACUGGGAACCGACAUAAACCUCUCCUUAUAGUUGAGGCUGUCCAGUGUCGUGUUCUAGCAACAAAACAGGUGACUAAGACAGUCACGGCCACUGCAAGGAAGCCGGUCCAAGCACAUCACUCCUUGGCAGCCCCAAGUUUUAAGACCAACAGAUACAGACAUUUAAAAUCACAUUUAAUUCUAAAAUUCCCGCUUGGCAAUCCAAUCUUGGAGGACAGGAAUUGCCCCUGACCUUCCUGCCCCCAGCACAUGGCUGUGAACUGAGUGAAUGAUGAAGCUGCAUGUUGACAUUUGGGAAGAGGAAACUUAAGAGCAAACCGGACUUGGAGGAUAUUUUCAAUACAAAUUCAGAGCGGGCCUGUGUUAGAAACCAAUGUAAAAAAGUCAUGUAGGCCCCAGCAAGGUUUUCAUAGACUGCGUGAGCUUAUGCUUAAGUAAGCAUGCAAAAGCUAAGGCUUCAGAAGAGCUCAAAGAGCUUUUAAGCAGCAGAAGAGAGUGGGAGGACUCAGCCUACCUGACCCUGAGAUGAGUGGAUGUCAACAUGAGGAUCGGUUUGUGGUGGAGGGUGGACACAGGCCAGCAGAGCAGAGCGGACAACCCAGAGGGGCCUGUGCUCACGGGGGCCCCAUUAGUUAUUUCCUAGCUCUGGGUUUGAGCCCAGGGCGUCACACCUGCGAGGUCCGGCCUCCAUCACUGAGCCCGCCCCCAGCCCCAUUUGCUUUUGCGGGGGAGGGAUUCAGCCUUUUAGCAACUGGAGCUGGAGCAAAGGGGCAACACUAAGACAGCAAGUUUUACAAAAGAGUUUCUUCACACAGCCAGGCGUGGAGGAGGAGAGCCAGGCUCAGCCUCCUCCCAGAGGGCAGGGCUUAGGGACAUUCAUGGAAGGAGUAGGAUGGCCUAAGGCGUGGGGAGGCCAGGGGCACAGGGGAGGUUGGCGGUGGGCUGCACGGCUCCUCAGAGGACACACGUCUGGAUAACACGGCACUGACAGAGCAGAGGGUGCAGCUCUUGACCCCUGGGUGUUGAAGAAGUCAUCUGUGACCCUGCACAGCCCCAUGCUCAGAGCUGGGGCCCUGCCAAAGUAGCCGGGCAGCCCAGAUGCCCAUUGCCUACCCCCAGCUGGUCACCUGCAGAGGAGGUGGCUGGUCAGUGACACCAUGCGCAUCUUCCUGACCUCCAAAAUGCAAGACUUUCAAAGUCACCUAAAAGCAAGUAACAAUGCAAGUGUCCCUCAGUUUCAGACCUGCAGUUCCCUGCUUGACCGCCGGACCCUGCUCCUGAAGAGAGGAGUCGCUGGGUGCGGCCUCUCAAUGUCAGGCGUCUUUGCAGAGAGCCGCCCUCCCGGAGAGGUGCUCACGGGGGCCUGGACCUGGCCUACGUCCCUGCCGGUGAGCGGCACUGUGUGCAGGUGGACUGCGCUUCAUCACCCUUUGGCUGCUUUAGACUUGUGAGCUGUUCCCAGUGCUCGGGCUGUUUUGGAAAACAGACGAACACUGCUUUGACUUCUUAGUGCAGCCCUCUAUGACAACUUUUCAUUCAUCCUGGGUGAAACCCUAGGAGUGGAGCAGUCAUCAGGUAAGGGUGGAUUUAGCUUUUUAAAAGUGGGUUUCACUGUGGCAUCUCACACAUGCAAAUGACACAUUCCACCCCAGUCCUCCCC